AUACGUAGGUGGCGAGCGUUAUCCGGAAUUACUGGGUGUAAAGGGUGUGUAGGCGGGAAGGCAAGUCGGAUGUGAAAAUUAUGGGCUCAACCCAUAAAGUGCGACCGAAACUGUUUUUCUUGAGGAUCGGAGAGGUAAUGAGAAUUCCCGGUGGAGCGGUGAAAUUCGCCGAGAUCGGGAGGAAUACCGGUGGCGAAGGCGAAUGACUGGACGAUAACUGACGCUGAGACACGAACGCGUGGAGAGCAACAGUGAUUAUAUGCCCUGGUAGUGUACGGCCGAAACGAUGAAUGCUAGGCGUAGGGGAGUCACCUCCUGUGCCGCAGCUAACGCAAUAAGCAUUCCACCUGGGGAGUACGGUCUCAAGGUUGCAACUCAAAGGAAUUGAUGUGG
rnacentral:rRNA from 1 species